rnacentral:rRNA from 1 species
UACGGAAGGCAGCAGUGGGGAAUAUUGCACAAUGGGCGCAAGCCUGAUGCAGCCAUGCCGCGUGUAUGAAGAAGGCCUUCGGGUUGUAAAGUACUUUCAGUCGUGAGGAAGGUGUUAAGGUUAAUAACCUUAGCAAUUGACGUUAGCGACAGAAGAAGCACCGGCUAACUCCGUGCCAGCAGCCGCGGUAAUACGGAGGGUGCGAGCGUUAAUCGGAAUUACUGGGCGUAAAGGGCACGCAGGCGGUUAAUUAAGUUGGAUGUGAAAUCCCCGGGCUUAACCUGGGAAUGACAUUCAAGACUGGUUAGCUAGAGUCUUGUAGAGGGGGUAGAAUUCCAUGUGUAGCGGUGAAAUGCGUAGAGAUGUGGAGGAAUACCGGUGGCGAAGGCGGCCCCUGGGACAAAGACUGACGCUCAUGUGCGAAAGCGUGGGGAGCAAACAGGAUUAGAUACC